GACGAACGCUGGCGGCGUGCUUAACACAUGCAAGUCGAACGGAAAGGCCCUGCUUUUGUGGGGUGCUCGAGUGGCGAACGGGUGAGUAACACGUGAGUAACCUGCCCUUGACUUUGGGAUAACUUCAGGAAACUGGGGCUAAUACCGGAUAGGAGCUCCUGCUGCAUGGUGGGGGUUGGAAAGUUUCGGCGGUUGGGGAUGGACUCGCGGCUUAUCAGCUUGUUGGUGGGGUAGUGGCUUACCAAGGCUUUGACGGGUAGCCGGCCUGAGAGGGUGACCGGCCACCUUGGGCCUGAGCUACGGCCCAGACUCCUACGGGCGGCAGCAGUGGGGAAUAUUGCACAAUGGGCGGAAGCCUGAUGCAGCAACGCCGCGUGCGGGAUGACGGCCUUCGGGUUGUAAACCGCUUUCGCCUGUGACGAAGCGUGAGUGACGGUAAUGGGUAAAGAAGCCCCGGCUAACUACGUG
rnacentral:rRNA from 1 species